GCAGUUUUUGUGAAGGACCAGAAUGUGCUGUUUCUUGGAUGGUAGUGAACCACAUGUUCAUGCCACAACAGUGGAAUAUAGACAUUCAACACUCUCAACUUGUCCUGUAAGAUCUGACUGUGGUUUGUCCACACUCACUGAAUACCCUUUAUUGCCUACAGCUGAAGUGUAAGAACUGUGGAGCCUUUGGACACACGACUAGAAGCUCCAAGUGCCCCAUAAAACGUUGGGGAGAGGUCCAGGCCUUUCAGCCCUUGGCAUACCGUAAAGGGAAGGAGAACCUGAACUCACAGAGCCCAAAAAACUCAGGCCUCUUGAGAAUUACUGGGAAACAAAAGAUACUAGGACUAAGACAAAGGCAGCCCAAAGAAGCUCCACUCCAGAGAUUUCCCAGGACAUCCCCAGAGAGGCCACAGCAGAACCAAAAGGAAACAGAUGAAUCUUGCACUUCCAUGAGGCUGGGUCUCCCAGUGUCCACACAGGCCUCUGCCCCUGCAGGUGAGGAUAAA